rnacentral:rRNA from 1 species
UACAGAGGGGCAAGCGUUGUUCGGAAUUACUGGCGUAAAGGGCGCGUAGGCGGCCCGCUAAGUCGAACGUGAAAUCCCCGAGCUCAACUCGGGAACUGCGUCCGAUACUGGCGGGCUUGAAUCCGGAGAGGGAUGCGGAAUCCUGGUGUAGCGGUGAAAUGACGCAGAUAUCAGGAGGAACACCUAUUGCGAAGGCAGCUCGCUGGGACGUGACUGACGCUGAGACGCGAAAGCGUGGGAGCAAACAGG